CGACAUAGCACUCCAGCCUGGGCAAUACAGGGAGACUCCAUCUCAAAAAACAAACAAACAAACAAAAAUCCCUGCUCUUGGAUCCAGUAAUUCCACUUCUGGGAAUUAAACUAUCAGGAAAUUGGGAAAAAACCUUCAUAUUCAACGGUGGAUGUCCUGGGGGUUAAUUUCAAAAGGGAACUGCAGCGGUGAGCCAAGAUCGCGCCAUUGCGCUCCAGCCUGGGCAACAAGAGCGAAACUCCGUCUCAAAAAAAAAAGGGGGGCGGGGACUGCAAACAACCUAGAUGCCCAGGCAGCCUCAGGGAGAUGUGUGAAGGGAGAGACCUCAGAGGCAUGUGCAACAGUAUAACAAAGAAGGGUCUCCCCAACAGUAAAUGUUGAAUGAAAACAGCAGGGUUCACACAUGUACAGCAGAGUCACACUGAGUAUGUUAACAAACACAGAACCAAGGCCAGGAGGGAAAGGCACCAGAGUGGCUACAAUAGGGCUUUCUGACCAGAAGAUGCCAGGCAUUGGGUCUGCAGGGAGAACUGACAAAAGAGGCAGGACUGAAUUCCAUUUGCUGCAGGUUUAGCAUUCAAGGCUGAUAAACUGCUAGAAAUAAGCAGGCAGAGGAAUGCCUGAGUGAGUCCCUGGGGUGCUUGGAAGGAAACAAAUCAAAUGUACCUGUUGCUCCUGUAUACAGAAUAAGCCUGUAAGGGUCUGGGAUCAUCCUGGAUCCAAAUCAAGGGUAAUUCCUGAGUCAGUUUUAGGGGAUUUGGAACCAAAUGUCCCACUAUCCCUAUCAUCCGCAAG
rnacentral:lncRNA from 10 species